UUCCUACGGGGGGCAGCAGUGGGGGAUAUUGCACAAUGGGGGCAACCCUGAUGCAGCGACGCCGCGUGAGCGAUGGAGUACUUCGGUAUGUAAAGCUCUGUCAGCAGGGAAGAGAAUGACGGUACCUGACCAAGAAGCCCCGGCUAAAUACGUGCCAGCAGCCGCGGUAAUACGUAUGGGGCAAGCGUUAUCCGGAUUUACUGGGUGUAAAGGGAGCGUAGGCGGCAGGGCAAGCCUGAUGUGAAAGCCCGGGGCUCAACCCCGGGACUGCAUUGGGAACUGGCGUGCUUGAGUCCGCGGAAAGC
rnacentral:rRNA from 1 species